rnacentral:lncRNA from 1 species
CGAAGAUUGGAGGGGAUGAGUCAGGGGCAAGGAAGGAUUAACAGAUUCUGCCUCAAGGCCUGGUGAACCAAGUCCUCUCCCCAAGACAGACACAUACUAGUGAAAUAAAUUGGAUUUAAAUCAUCACCUGAGGCAAUCCUGAAAGAGAAAAGCAGUCCUAGAAAAGAGUGGAGGAAAAGAGGACAGCCCCAUUCUCUUUGUGACCACGAAGACUGCCACCAUGUGGAUGGGAGCCACGUGACUUCUUUUAGUGCCAGCUGAGAUUCUUCUGCCCUGGAACUAGUUCCUCCGAGUUAUUGCCAGGCCUGGAGAUUGAAUUCCUGCACCUGGAAGGUGGGGAAAGUUGCCAGAGCGAAGGAAGUAAAAGCAUCCACUAUGAGAUUCACCAGAGGGGUUUGACCAGCUUUAGAAGGAGAAUCCUGGACAACAACACAUGCAGCUGUGAAGGCCACAAGUGUGACACUGACAGUCAACUGAAAUGGAAGGAAUGUGAAGAUGCUGUCGUAAACAUUUCUACCUCAUGUGACAGCUUUAACAAUACUUGCAAGGUCGUCAUCGUUUCAGACAUAACCCCUCAAAACCAAAGCGGAACCUCUUCAAGGAGCUGAGAGAUGCAAGCCUGAUCUCCCACUUUUGAAGUCCAUGCCGUC